rnacentral:rRNA from 1 species
GACGAACGCUGGCGGCGUGCUUAACACAUGCAAGUCGAACGGAAAGGCCCUGCUUUUGUGGGGUGCUCGAGUGGCGAACGGGUGAGUAACACGUGAGUAACCUGCCCUUGACUUUGGGAUAACUUCAGGAAACUGGGGCUAAUACCGGAUAGGAGCUCCUGCUGCAUGGUGGGGGUUGGAAAGUUUCGGCGGUUGGGGAUGGACUCGCGGCUUAUGAGCUUGUUGGUGGGGUAGUGGCUUACCAAGGCUUUGACGGGUAGCCGGCCUGAGAGGGUGACCGGCCACAUUGGGACUGAGAUACGGCCCAGACUCCUACGGGAGGCAGCAGUGGGGAAUAUUGCACAAUGGGCGGAAGCCUGAUGCAGCAACGCCGCGUGCGGGAUGACGGCCUUCGGGUUGUAAACCGCUUUCGCCUGUGACGAAGCGUGAGUGACGGUAAUGGGUAAAGAAGCACCGGCUAACUACGUG